GACGUAGGGUGCAAGCGUUAUCCGGAUUCACUGGGUUUAAAGGGCGCGUAGGUGGGUUGGUAAGUCAGUGGUGAAAUCCCCGAGCUUAACUUGGGAACUGCCAUUGAUACUAUCAGUCUUGAAUACUGUGGAGGUUAGCGGAAUAUGUCAUGUAGCGGUGAAAUGCUUAGAUAUGACAUAGAACACCAAUUGCGAAGGCAGCUGGCUACACAAAUAUUGACACUGAGGCUCGAAAGCGUGGGGAGCAAACAGG
rnacentral:rRNA from 1 species